GACGAACGCUGGCGGCGUGCCUAAUACAUGCAAGUAGAACGCAGUUGCGAACGGGUGAGUAACGCGUAGGUAACUGCCUCAUAGCGGGGGAUAACUAUUGGAAACGAUAGCUAAUACCGCAUACUUUGAGAUGGACCUGCGUUGGAUUAGCUUGUUGGGGAGGUAAAGGCUCACCAAGGCGACGAUCAAUAGCCGACCUGAGAGGGUGGACGGCCAACAGUGGACUGAGAAAAGGGCCAGACUCCUAAGGGAAGGCGGAGGAGGGAAUUUUUGGGAAUGGACGGAAGUCUGAACGAGCAAAGCCGGGUGAGGGAAGAAGGGUUUCGGAUCGGAAAGCUCUGGUGGUAGGGAAGCGGUAACUAACCAGAAAGGGACGGCUAACUACGUGCCAGCAGCCGCGGUAAUAC
rnacentral:rRNA from 1 species